GUCCUACGGGGCGCAGCAGUGAGGAAUAUUGGUCAAUGGGCGGGAGCCUGAACCAGCCAAGCCGCGUGAAGGAAGAAGGCGCCAGGCGUCGUAAACUUCUUUUGUCGGGGAACAAAGGGCGCCACGUGUGGCGUUGUGAGUGUACCCGAAGAAAAAGCAUCGGCUAACUCCGUGCCAGCAGCCGCGGUAAUACGGAGGAUGCGAGCGUUAUCCGGAUUUAUUGGGUUUAAAGGGUGCGUAGGCGGUCCGGAAAGUCAGCGGUAAAAGCCCGGGGCUCAACCUCGGCGAGCCGUUGACACUGUCGG
rnacentral:rRNA from 1 species